GACGAACGCUGGCGGCGUGCUUAACACAUGCAAGUCGAACGGAAAGGCCCUGCUUUUGUGGGGUGCUCGCGUGGCGAACGGGUGAGUAACACGUGAGUAACCUGCCCUUGACUUUGGGAUAACUUCAGGAAACUGGGGCUAAUACCGGCUAGGAGCUCCUGCUGCAUGGUGGGGGUUGGAAAGUUUCGGCGGUUGGGGAUGGACUCGCGGCUUAUCAGCUUGUUGGUGGGGUAGUGGCUUACCAAGGCUUUGACGGGUAGCCGGCCUGAGAGGGUGAACGGCCACAUUGGGACUGAGAUACGGCCCAGACUCCUACGGGAGGCAGCAGUGGGGAAUAUUGCACAAUGGGCGGAAGCCUGAUGCAGCAACGCCGCGUGCGGGAUGACGGCCUUCGGGUUGUAAACCGCUUUCGCCUGUGACGAAGCGUGAGUGACGGUAAUGGGUAAAGAAGCACCGGCUAACUACGUG
rnacentral:rRNA from 1 species